ACCUUAGAGACCAACUAAGUUUGUUCUGGGUAUAAGCUUUCGUGCGCACACAAAAGCUUAUACCCAGAACAAACUUAGUUGGUCUCUAAGGU